rnacentral:rRNA from 1 species
UACGUAGGGGGCAAACGUUGUCCGGAUUUAUUGGGCGUAAAGAGCGUGUAGGCGGCUAGGUAGGUCCGUUGUGAAAACUCGAGGCUCAACCUCGAGACGUCGAUGGAAACCAUCUAGCUAGAGUCCGGAAGAGGAGAGUGGAAUUCCUGGUGUAGCGGUGAAAUGCGCAGAUAUCAGGAAGAACACCCGUGGCGAAGGCGGCUCUCUGGUACGUGACUGACGCUGAGACGCGAAAGCGUGGGGAGCGAACAGG